rnacentral:rRNA from 1 species
GUGUUGUGAAAUGUUGGGUUAAGUCCCGCAACGAGCGCAACCCUUAUCCUUUGUUGCCAGCGAUUAGGUCGGGAACUCAAAGGAGACUGCCAGUGAUAAACUGGAGGAAGGUGGGGAUGACGUCAAGUCAUCAUGGCCCUUACGACCAGGGCUACACACGUGCUACAAUGGCGCAUACAAAGAGAAGCGACCUCGCGAGAGCAAGCGGACCUCAUAAAGUGCGUCGUAGUCCGGAUUGGAGUCUGCAACUCGACUCCAUGAAGUCGGAAUCGCUAGUAAUCGUGGAUCAGAAUGCCACGGUGAAUACGUUCCCGGGCCUUGUACACACCGCCCGUCACACCAUGGGAGU